CGCCACCUUCCCGGCCCCAGGCUGUGUUCUUUAUACUGACUUGCAUAGAAAGAGGAGGCACAGUAAAUGCAACCCAUACACACCUCAGCCCAGGCUUUGUUUUGUCUGUAUUGUGAAUGGGGGGGGAGUG